AACCUCCAAAUUUAUAGUUGUUAGGCAGAAGUGCAGGUAGCCUAAAGACCUUGUUGUGACUGGCAGAAGUGGAGGCAGGCUUGCAGGACGGAACCCUUAACUUGUGGGAUCUGUGUUAAUUCGGGGUAGUUGAUGUCAGAAUUGAAUUGAAUUGUCAGACACCAACUAAUGUUGGAGAACAAGAGAAUUGGAUAUUGUAGGAAAUCCAAACACACUUUUUCUUGUCUCCUCAAUAUGACGGAACGUUUAGACACAAGACAUGGUAAGUGAUAUGCCUAAUUCAUGCUGCAAACCACAUUAGAAGGUGAUAAAACCAAAAACUUCAGGCCUUUGACUGUAAGUGCUGUGAUCUUUUCUCUACACCACACUGCCUUUAUACCACAUAUUUAUUUAUGUGUCAGCUUUUGAUUCAUGAAUAGAACCCAGUCUUCUGCAUGAGAGAAGAAUUAGGAUGGUUGGAAAAUUUAUAAGAAGUGGGAAUUAUCUGUGACUUCUAAACCACCUACAACAACAGAAGGCUGGGAGAAUUAAAGGAUUAUUCUGCAUUCCCAAAUCACCAGUACAUUUCCUAAGAUUUUCAAAGAGACAUCUGGCUGGCCAGCGACACCUAUACACCACCACUGUUGGCAGCUCUCAAGGACUAUGCCUUUGUUGCUGUUAUUCAAGGAGGCCACACACUGCAAUUGUACCUGCCAGGUCACCUAAGUUAAAGCUAAACAGAGGAUAGCAGCAAUUCGAGGGAAUUCAAGUGAAAUAAAGCAUUUUAAUAUUGGGCAA